rnacentral:rRNA from 1 species
GACGAACGCUGGCGGCGUGCUUAACACAUGCAAGUCGAACGGAAAGGCCCUGCUUUUGUGGGGUGCUCGAGUGGCGAACGGGUGAGUAACACGUGAGUAACCUGCCCUUGACUUUGGGAUAACUUCAGGAAACUGGGGCUAAUACCGGAUAGGAGCUCCUGCUGCAUGGUGGGGGUUGGAAAGUUUCGGCGGUUGGGGAUGGACUCGCGGCUUAUCAGCUUGUUGGUGGGGUAGUGGCUUACCAAGGCUUUGACGGGUAGCCGGCCUGAGAGGGGGACCGGCCACAUUGGGACUGAGAUACGGCCCAGACUCCUACGGGAGGCAGCAGUGGGGAAUAUUGCACAAUGGGCGGAAGCCUGAUGCAGCAACGCCGCGUGCGGGAUGACGGCCUUCGGGUUGUAAACCGCUUUCGCCUGUGACGAAGCGUGAGUGACGGUAAUGGGUAAAGAAGCACCGGCUAACUACGUG